rnacentral:rRNA from 1 species
GUCGAGCGAACGGACGAGAAGCUUGCUUCUCUGAUGUUAGCGGCGGACGGGUGAGUAACACGUGGAUAACCUACCUAUAAGACUGGGGAGACUUCGGGAAACCGGAGCUAAUACCGGAUAAUAUUUUGAACCGCAUGGUUCAAAAGUGAAAGACGGUCUUGCUGUCACUUAUAGAUGGAUCCGCGCUGCAUUAGCUAGUUGGUAAGGUAACGGCUUACCAAGGCAACGAUGCAUAGCCGACCUGAGAGGGUGAUCGGCCACACUGGAACUGAGACACGGUCCAGACUCCUACGGGAGGCAGCAGUAGGGAAUCUUCCGCAAUGGGCGAAAGCCUGACGGAGCAACGCCGCGUGAGUGAUGAAGGUCUUCGGAUCGUAAAACUCUGUUAUUAGGGAAGAACAUAUGUGUAAGUAACUGUGCACAUCUUGACGGUACCUAAUCAGAAAGCCACGGCUAACUACGUGCCAGCAGCCGCGGUAAUACGUAGGUGGCAAGCGUUAUCCGGAAUUAUUGGGCGUAAAGCGCGCGUAGGCGGUUUUUUAAGUCUGAUGUGAAAGCCCACGGCUCAACCGUGGAGGGUCAUUGGAAACUGGAAAACUUGAGUGCAGAAGAGGAAAGUGGAAUUCCAUGUGUAGCGGUGAAAUGCGCAGAGAUAUGGAGGAACACCAGUGGCGAAGGCGACUUUCUGGUCUGUAACUGAC